GCGUCGGUGGUUCAGUGGUAGAAUACAUGCCUGCCACGCAGGUGGGCGGGGUUCGAUUCCCGGCCGACGCA
rnacentral:tRNA from 1 species